rfam:Asian citrus Psyllid, Diaphorina citri - Florida Strain, whole genome shotgun sequence.
GCCUAGUUAGCUUAGUUGGUAGCGCGUCUCCCUUGUAAGCGCUAGGCCGCGGGUUCGAUUCCCGCCCGGGGCG